AGUGGCAGUGGGUGUGGCAGCGCCAGGGCCUCAGGGGCGGCGGCAACGGAGGCGGCAGUGGCCGCAGCAGCAGCAUCUCUACAGCUCCGACGUCUCACCAGUCUUGAGUCUCACCAACCUUCAGGUUAGGAAGGAUGAACGCCAACAGCGCUGUUGGCAGUGGCAGCACCAGCAGCCAUCGUCACCGAGCAUUUGUUUGCCCGGGUGGGACUGUGAGUGUGGAGCGCCGGUCAGAACAAUUUCCUUCAGGACAACUCUUCAAGCAGAUUCAUUCGAUAGAAUACAGACUCCGCAAGAAAGAUGAUCUCACAGGGAUGCAGACACACGUGAGACCCAGCACACUCAGGGCACGCCUUUGCUUUGCUUCACAUAGUUGUUUUGGCCGAUAACACUUUUUAAAACUCUGCUUUGUUGAGUUCAAGGUCAGGACACUCACCCAUUGGUUUGCUCUUUAUAUCUACCCUUGCAGCCUUGGGUUGGGUGCCAGCCUGCAGCUACACAGAGGUUCCCACCAAACCCUUACGUCCAAACCUACACACAGGUUGCUGGUCUCAGGAGUUUAAAUUCCCUGUUUAUAACUAACUUCAUCAAAGAUCUCCCGCUUAAGUACAGAAAUUCAGGCCACAAAUAUGCUACUCAGUUACUAGGCAGCUAUUUCUAGCUGCUGAGGAAAGGAAAAAAAAAAAUCUUGCCCAGAGAAAAGAAGGUAUAAAUUCCCGUGACAAUUAAGGCUUCCCAAACUCCAUUUCUCUGAUUAUCCUCUCUGCCAUCCAACCCAACAAACCGUGGCGGGUUGACCCUCAAGUCACUGAUUUCCCAAAGUGGGAAGUUACUGAGCACAGCUGUCUUAGUGCAGGUAGCAAGGCUCUACCUUGUCAGUGGAGAAGGCACAUCAUAGCUUUAAAUGGAAAACUACUAACGUCAAACUGCGGGUCUUCAAAGAGCACCCCUGCUCCCGACACCCCUGCACCCCAUCAGCCUUCCUCAGGCUUGCUGUGGAAGGGCAGGAAGCUCAGAGCCUGCCAACCCCACUGAGUAGGAAAGGACCUGGACAACUUUCAAAAACUUCACAGAGCACAAGGAGACGAUGUAAGGGGUGAUGAUGACUGUGGUCACCUGCUUUUGUCUCUUUCCAGAGAGAAAUGUUCUGUCUUGUGAGCACUAAAACCAGAAAGAGGAAAAUGAUGUUUGUGAUCACUGUCACAGGAGAGACUCUGAACAGCAACAGAGUAAAGCAGAGUAAGACCCGGCUCCCCUACCUAGGGUAGCCACAGCAGGGUGAAGCCCCCAGCUCCCCUACCCAGGGGAGUCACAGCAGAGUGAGGGCCAGCUUUCCUGCCCACGGGAGUCACAGCAGAGUGAGGGCCAGCUCCCCUACCCACGGGAGUCACAGCAGAGUGAGGGCCAGCUUUCCUGCCCAGGAGAGUCACAGAAGCAUCUUUGCCCCACCCCAGAGCCCUCACAGAUGCCUGGAGCUGAGGGUUGCCUGGGUAACAGUGCUGCUCAGGAAAUGCAGAUGUGAACAAGAGCCUUCUGCCCAAAGCUGCAGUCGCCUACUUUCCCAGCCAUGCCCCUGCCUGUCUACGGCGCUUCCGUUCUGUGUGCUGCCUGCCUCCGCAGUUUGCUGCCUGCCUCCGCAGUUGGCCAUGAAGGGACUGUCCUUCGCAGGUCUUGUCUUUCCGAGGGAAAACAGACCCCUGUGGCUGUGCUGUGUCUCCUCUCUCUCCUCUGGUAAGGGCCAUCAUCUUCGUUUCGGCUUGCCAGUCCACCCACACCCCCUCCCCGAGAGCCUCUGCCGCUUUCCUAUGCUAACACAGCUAAAUAGGAGACCGAGGAGAACCCAGGACACCUGACCCCAGAACUUAAUCUUUUUGUUUCUCUGUUUCCCUUUCCCCCAUAUUUCCUGUUCUUUACUUUUCCCAUUACCUAAUGAACUACCCUUUAUUCCUUUUAACGGGUAAUUUUGUCUGUUUCCACAAAUGAUCCACACACCACUUGUCGAUAUUUGCUGGAGUUCUUCCUGCACGGGACAGUGGCUGGGUGGUGGCGGAUUAAAUGGAGGAAGCCCAGGCUGCCGGUGGGUCUGAGACAUGGAUGUCAUCUCUGCAGCUAGCUGCUGCCGUCCUAGUUUUCUUCCUCUUUUAUGUCAGAACCCACUGGACCCCUCUACCAGAUGGACUGCUGAUGAUUUUGUUUUGCUUAUCUAGUGUGCUCUGUUUUGAGUCUGUUUGUUGGUUUGAUGAUGGAGUGUAUGCUGAUUUCAAGGCAAGCCUGUGAGUAUUCAAAUUGCUUUAGAAGGCAAAAAAGCUGCCAUCUCCAAGAGGACUGGUCCUGUCUUGCAACUGACGCUGGAAACAAUGUAUCCUCUCUUCCGCAAUGCCGGAGCUGAAACAGACGAAACCAUGAGAAGAGGUGAAAGUUUGGCGGCUCUGUUCAGAGUAUUCGCUUCUGUGGGGUCUGCAAGUGAUCUGUGCCAUCUCUAAGCAUGUCCCAUCCCGCCUAACCCCUCCUCCAGCCCUCCCCUACCUGCACUCCCAGCCCCAGAGCUGGAUCUGGUUACUCGCAGGGGUAGCUUUGGUGGGUGUACGUUCCCUCCUAGGGCCCCGGACUGCGCUUUCCUGGGAUACUUGGCCCAGCCUGUGGCAUAGCUUGUGAAGCUGGAAAGGGCUGAGCCAGCCAGGCAAGUACACAGGACAAUACCAGAACCCCACAUCCCACCCAGAGCCGCAGAAGAGCCUCCUAAGGGGUGGUAGUUUUUAUAAACAAGAACAUCUGGCUCAGAGUCGAGAGAAAGAAGCAUGGUUAAGUGUGGAGUCUGUCUGGCCUGGUCCCUAUGAGCAGUUGAUAAAGGGCCUUUGUACACCUCACCCAACUCUGAGGGUAAAGAUAGCUUGAUAGCUUUUAAUUUGAUAUUGCUUUCUAGAGGGUGGAGAAGGGUGGCAAGUCUGGGAUUAAGGAACAUAAAUCAAUCAUUAAAUGAAUAAGAAGAGAAAGCAGCCAUUGAGGCAGGAGGGGAGCCAUGCCUCCUUUUUGUUAUCUCUCCAGACACAGCUUACCCGGAGAAGGAUGCUUCCUCUGGGAAUUUACCUGACUUGAAACAUCAGAAUUAUUAGGUGGAAGUCACAGUAAUCCACCUGCCUCAGCCUCGUGAGGACUGUGAUGGCAGGCAUGCUACCACAGAACGAUAACAGCAAAAACAAGGAACAGUAGCAUAAGAGAAUCAGAAUUUUAGAAAUGAAAGAAGAUAAAAGGUCUAAGUUUAUGGCAGUGUUUCAAUAAAUCAAACAUCUUUGAAUUGUUA